rnacentral:lncRNA from 1 species
CCUGUGGUUUUGUUUUUCUCUUUUUCUUAUCAAUUUCAUUUUUUUUUCCCUUAAAUCAGUAAUAAAGUUGAAAUUAAAGGGUACUAAAGUGAAUAUUUGAUAAAUCUAGAUGGAUAUCUGAAGUUUUUUUGUAUAUAAUUUAACGAAAUAUUAACAAAAAAACUACCGAAAAGAUAAAAACGAAAUCACAGGGGGGCAAAUUGAUACACUUUAAACCACAUGGGGGCAAAG